rnacentral:rRNA from 1 species
GCAGUCGAACGAUGAUGCCCAGCUUGCUGGGUGGAUUAGUGGCGAACGGGUGAGUAACACGUGAGUAACCUGCCCCUGACUCUGGGAUAAGCGUUGGAAACGACGUCUAAUACUGGAUAUGACUGCCGGCCGCAUGGUCUGGUGGUGGAAAGAUUUUUUGGUUGGGGAUGGACUCGCGGCCUAUCAGCUUGUUGGUGAGGUAAUGGCUCACCAAGGCGACGACGGGUAGCCGGCCUGAGAGGGUGACCGGCCACACUGGGACUGAGACACGGCCCACACUCCUACGGGAGGCAGCAGUGGGGAAUAUUGCACAAUGGGCGAAAGCCUGAUGCAGCAACGCCGCGUGAGGGAUGACGGCCUUCGGGUUGUAAACCUCUUUUAGUAGGGAAGAAGCGUAAGUGACGGUACCUGCAGAAAAAGCACCGGCUAACUACGUGCCAGCAGCCGCGGUAAUACGUAGGGUGCAAGCGUUGUCCGGAAUUAUUGGGCGUAAAGAGCUCGUAGGCGGUUUGUCGCGUCUGCUGUGAAAUCCCGAGGCUCAACCUCGGGCUUGCAGUGGGUACGGGCAGACUAGAGUGCGGUAGGGGAGAUUGGAAUUCCUGGUGUAGCGGUGGAAUGCGCAGAUAUCAGGAGGAACACCGAUGGCGAAGGCAGAUCUCUGGGCCGUAACUGACGCUGAGGAGCGAAAGCGUGGGGAGCGAACAGGAUUAGAUACCCUGGUAGUCCACGCCGUAAACGUUGGGCGCUAGAUGUAGGGACCUUUCCACGGUUUCUGUGUCGUAGCUAACGCAUUAAGCGCCCCGCCUGGGGAGUACGGCCGCAAGGCUAAAACUCAAAGGAAUUGACGGGGGCCCGCACAAGCGGCGGAGCAUGCGGAUUAAUUCGAUGCAACGCGAAGAACCUUACCAAGGCUUGACAUACACCGGAAACGGCCAGAGAUGGUUGCCCCCUUGUGGUCGGUGUACAGGUGGUGCAUGGUUGUCGUCAGCUCGUGUCGUGAGAUGUUGGGUUAAGUCCCGCAACGAGCGCAACCCUCGUUCUAUGUUGCCAGCGCGUUAUGGCGGGGACUCAUAGGAGACUGCCGGGGUCAACUCGGAGGAAGGUGGGGAUGACGUCAAAUCAUCAUGCCCCUUAUGUCUUGGGCUUCACGCAUGCUACAAUGGCCGGUACAAAGGGCUGCGAUACCGUAAGGUGGAGCGAAUCCCAAAAAGCCGGUCUCAGUUCGGAUUGAGGUCUGCAACUCGACCUCAUGAAGUCGGAGUCGCUAGUAAUCGCAGAUCAGCAACGCUGCGGUGAAUACGUUCCCGGGCCUUGUACACACCGCCCGUCAAGUCAUGAAAGUCGGUAACACCCGAAGCCGGUGGCCUAACC